AAAUGUAAUCUAAACUAGGUAGAAAGAAAAAUAGUGAUUGCAGAAUAACAAUAUAAACAAAAGCAAACAACUAAACUAAUAGUAAAAUAGAAAGAUAAGAUACUAUGUGAAUACUAGGUAAGACUGCUAAAAAAGAAGAGAAAAUGAGCUCUUUGCCUCCCCCAUGUAAAUGUACUACAACGCUCGGCUAUCUACUAUCCUUCUUCCCUAAUAUCCGACCUCCAAACAUUUAUAUUUAGGAUCAUGUGUUCAGUAAGUUGAAGAUAUACCAUGUCCUGUUUAAUCACCUUUCCCUGGUUUUUCUUUGGACUACCUCUACUUUUUCUCUAUACCUGCUAUAGUCAAACUUUCACACGCGCAACUCUUCUUCAUAUGUACAAAUCUUUUUAGUCUCACUUUCUCAUUUAUUCUCAAUGGAGACCAUUUCCACCGUCUCAUGUAUAACUUCAUUCCUAAUAUUGUUUCUCCUAAUAUGUCCAUACAUACGUCUCAACAUUCUCAUCUCCUCUAUCUUCGUAUUCUAAACAUGUGGAUUCUUAACAGAUCAUUUCUUUGCUCAAUACAACAACAUAGGUCUUAACAAACUAUGUAGAACUUACCUUUAAACUUUGGUGACAUAUUUUUAUCACAUAGUACCCUAAACUUGAAUCACU
rnacentral:lncRNA from 1 species